AAAUUGAAGAGUUUGAUCAUGGCUCAGAUUGAACGCUGGCGGCAGGCCUAACACAUGCAAGUCGAGCGGAAACGAGUUAUCAGAACCUUCGGGGGACGAUAACGGCGUCGAGCGGCGGACGGGUGAGUAAUGCCUAGGAAAUUGCCCUGAUGUGGGGGAUAACCAUUGGAAACGAUGGCUAAUACCGCAUGAUGCCUACGGGCCAAAGAGGGGGACCUUCGGGCCUCUCGCGUCAGGAUAU
rnacentral:rRNA from 1 species